rnacentral:lncRNA from 1 species
CUUGAGGUCAGCAUCUGUCCCACAAGGGAGAUCUAGGAUCAAUUUAUGGAAGCUGCAGAGGUAGUUUUUGAUGUUAAGAAUGUUUCUUUAAAUACUAUGGGACUUUUUUCUUAAACCUGUUGCGACCAGAUCCACUAUGAUGUACCUCUUCUUCUCUAAAUCCUAAAGGAGCAGUCAUUUAAAGUAUGCCUUGGAGAAGGGAGGAAGAGUCCCUCAGGAGAGAAAGAAUAAGACAGAAAAGAAUGUAGAAAGCUUUCCUCAAAGCAUUAAUGGAAACCAGCUUGAUGUGAGAACUAUAAAGCACCUGACCC